GUGCUCACUUUGGCAGCACAUACACUAAAACUGGAACGAUACAGAGAAGAUUUGCUUGGCUCAUGCACGAGGAUGACUCACAAAUUUGUGAAGUGUUCCAUAUUUUU